rnacentral:rRNA from 1 species
GAUGAACGCUAGCGGGAGGCCUAACACAUGCAAGCCGAGCGGUAGAGAUUCUUCGGAAUCUUGAGAGCGGCGUACGGGUGCGGAACACGUGUGCAACCUGCCUUUAUCAGGGGGAUAGCCUUUCGAAAGGAAGAUUAAUACCCCAUAAUAUAUUUGAUGGCAUCAUUAGAUAUUGAAAGCUUUGGCGGAUAGAGAUGGGCACGCGCAAGAUUAGAUAGUUGGUGAGGUAACGGCUCACCAAGUCGAUGAUCAUUAGGGGGCCUGAGAGGGUGAUCCCCCACACUGGUACUGAGACACUGACCAGACACCUACGGGAGGCAGCAGUGAGGAAGAUAGCACAAUGGAAUAGCGCCUGAUCCAGCCAACCCUCGUGAAGCACGACCGCCCUAUGGAUGAUAAACUCCUUUUGUAAAGGCAUAAACCUACUCUCGGGAGAGUAACUGAAGGUACUGUACGAAUAAGCACCGGCUAACUCCGUG